rnacentral:lncRNA from 1 species
UUGACCUUUGAGGUAGGUGAGGAGAAGAUAGAAUUUAUACUUUCAAAAUUUCUUAUGGCACCUAUGAUGGGAGACAUAUGUUAUGCCAUAGAUAUCAUUGAUGAAUGCGUUAGGGAAAUAGAACAAGAAGAAAUCAUAAAAACAAUUAAGUUGCCAUUAACUCUCAUACUGGAAGAUGAUGACUUUAGGAAGCCCUACAUCGAU